rnacentral:rRNA from 1 species
UACAGAGGCCUCAAGCGUUGUUCGGAUUCAUUGGGCGUAAAGGGUGCGUAGGUGGCGUGGCAAGUCUGAUGUGAAAUCCCGAGGCUCAACCUCGGAACUGCAUUGGAUACUGCCAUGCUAGAGCACUGGAGAGGAGACUGGAAUUUACGGUGUAGCAGUGAAAUGCGUAGAUAUCGUAAGGAAGACCAGUGGCGAAGGCGAGUCUCUGGACAGUUGCUGACACUGAGGCACGAAGGCUAGGGGAGCAAACGGG